rnacentral:rRNA from 1 species
AGAGUGGCGAAAGGGCGAGGAAUACAUUUCUACGUACCUCGAGGUCGAGGAUAAUCAGGGGAAACUCUGACUAAUACUCGAUGAUAUGGCUGAUGAAUAGUUAGCCAUCAAAGGCUUGCUGCCUUGAGAGCGGGGAAUGUCCUAUCAGGUAGUUGGUGAGGUAAUGGCUCACCAAGCCAAAGACGGGUAGCGGGUGUGAGAGCACGGCCCGCCGCAUCGGGACUGAGACACUGCCCGGACUCCUACGGGAGGCUGCAGUAACGAAUCUUCCGCAAUGCGCGAAAGCGUGACGGGGCAAUGCCGCGUGCAGGAUGAAGCCCCUCGGGGUGUAAACUGCUGUCAGGGUUUAGGAAACAAAUGACCAGACCCAAAGGAAGAGCCGGCUAACUCUGUGCCAGCAGCCGCGGUAAUACAGAGGGCUCGAGCGUUAAUCGGAAUCACUGGGCUUAAAGCGUGCGUAGGCGGGUGUGCAGGCAUGUUGUGAAAUCCCAUGGCUCAACCAUGGAAUUGCUUCGUGAACCGCACAUCUUGAGGCUGGUAGAGGCAGUUGGAACGCUAGGUGGAGCGGUGAAAUGCGUAGAUAUCUAGCGGAACGCCGAAGGUGAAGACAAGCUGCUGGGCCAGUCCUGACGCUGAGGCACGAAAGCGUGGGGAGCAAACGGGAUUAGAUACCCCGGUAGUCCACGCCCUAAACGAUGCGCACUAGAUCGAGGUGAUUGACUUCACCUUGGUCGAAGCAAAAGUGUUAAGUGCGCCGCCUGGGGAGUACGGUCGCAAGGCUAAAACUCAAAGGAAUUGACGGGGGCUCACACAAGCGGUGGAGCAUGUGGCUUAAUUCGAAGCAACGCGAAGAACCUUAUCCUAUGCUUGAC